AUGAAUGGAAGAAAUAAAAAAGAGUAGUACUCAUCAGAUCAUCAAGCGCCCAUGAUGAGACACAGUGGGCAUUCCCGGGAUCUAGUUAGUUGUUGAGUUAUGAUCUGCUGAAGGCUCCUUUUGCUACUGAAUAAGGGGGAAAAUUUGUUCAUACAAAUUGAGAUCAUCACACAUUGAAGGAAGAACUCUUUCUGCUCCUGAGCUUUGACAGGAGCAUGAGGUGUGACCUUCACCUUCCUUGAAGCUGCCCAGCAGGGCACUGCUUUACAUGUACUUUCUACCUUAUAUACCUACAUAUAUGUAACUACAUGAUCAACCUGGGCAUCGUCUUCUGGUGACCCACUGCAUCAUGCAACAUAAUAACCUAACUAACAAGAGAGAAUGUAAGAAAG
rnacentral:sRNA from 1 species